AGCAGUCGCCGCGGUAAUACGAAGGGGGCUAGCGUUGCUCGGAAUUACUGGGCGUAAAGGGAGCGUAGGCGGACAUUUAAGUCAGGGGUGAAAUCCCAGAGCUCAACUCUGGAACUGCCUUUGAUACUGGGUGUCUUGAGUGUGAUAGAGGUAUGUGGAACUCCGAGUGUAGAGGUGAAAUUCGUAGAUAUUCGGAAGAACACCAGUGGCGAAGGCGACAUACUGGAUCAUUACUGACGCUGAGGCACGAAAGCGUGGGGAUCAAACAGGAUUAGAUACCCCGGUAGUCCCUGUCUCUUAUAC
rnacentral:rRNA from 1 species